rnacentral:rRNA from 1 species
AUGAGUCUUUGCCUAAAAGAUGCUAAGGUUAUGCUCUUUGGCACCGCCCAAGGAUGGGGCCGCGACCGAUCAGGUUGUUGGUGAGGUAAUGGCUCACCAAGCCUUUUACCGGUGCGGGCCGUGAGAGCGGGAGCCCGGAGAUGGGCACUGAGACAAGGGCCCAGGCCCUACGGGGCGCAGCAGUCGCGAAAACUUUGCAAUAAGCGAAAGCUUGACAGGGCUAUCCCGAGUGCCAUCCGCUGAGGAAGGCUUUUACCCAGUCUAGAACGCUGGGGGAAUAAGGAGAGGGCAAGUCUGGUGUCAGCCGCCGCGGUAAUACCAGCUCUCCGAGUGGUGUGGAUGUUUAUUGGGCCUAAAGCAUCCGUAGCUGGCUAGGUUAGUCCCCUGUUAAAUCCACCGAAUUAAUCGUUGGGUUGCGGGGGAUACUGCUUAGCUAGGGGACGAGAGAGGCAGACGGUAUUUCCGGGGUAGGGGUGAAAUCCUAUAAUCCCGGGAGGACCACCAGUGGCGAAGGCUGUCUGCUAGAACGCGCCCGACGGUGAGGGAUGAAAGCUGGGGGAGCGAACCGGAUUAGAUACCCGGGUAGUCCCAGCUGUAAACGAUGCAGACUAGGUGUUUGGACGGCCACGUGCCGUUCUAGUGCCGCAGGGAAGCUGUUA